UGUAACAUACCGGACUUCUAAAGUUAUGAAGUCACGGUGUAUGUUGGGUUGGAAAACUAUUUGAAUGGUUCCGGUGAGGUUCGGUGAAGUUCGAAUGCUUUUGGGCGUUUCGGUACGCGUAGGCGCGAAAACGGAACCCGAAAGGCUAUGUUGGGCCGUGAGCUAAGUUCGGCAUUAGCGUGGAUGAAAAGAUGAUGGAGACAUGUUCGAAAAUAUGUUUGGAGAAUGUAACAUAUUGGAAUCUAGAAGGAAUUAUCGAACUUUAGCCAAAUUGGCUAAAGCAUGCGAAUAAGAUGAAUGGACGAGUUCCAGUUAAUAUUCCAUCAAGGUUGGAAAGGUUAAGAUGAGUUCUAAAAGAGUUAGAAAGGUUUUAGCGUUGUCCGGCGCGAAAUAGAGUCGAAAACAAGCUAAAAACCAAGUCCGGAGCAUUGUGUACCGGUACAAGUUGAUGGUUGUACCGGUA
rnacentral:lncRNA from 1 species